rnacentral:lncRNA from 1 species
CCCUUUCUCGUUCUCUUGCUCCAGCUGAAUCUGCGAAAGCUAAAUGUCUACAUGAUGAGAUUCACCUGUCUUGUCCAUGCGUUCUUAAGAUUCUGCAAUGUUAAAACUCAAACUAUAGAACAAUUCAUUAUUUUUAAAGAAACUUUCCAGGAAAAAUGUUGAUGAGGCCUCUCACAAGUUAAAAUGAAAAUCAGUUUGGUUUUAAUCUCAUCCAGCUUUGAUUGGACAACAUAAUUGUUAAAACUUGAAAGCAACCAAGAUGUCCUUAAGUAGGUGAAUGAAUAAGUAAACUGUGGUACAUCCAUAUUGUUCAGCACUGAAAAAAGAGCUAUCAAGCAUGAAGAGACACGGAGGAAACUUAAAUGAAUAUAGGCGAGUGAAAGGGUGUAUCUGAGAAGGCUAUAUAUGUAAUAAUUUCAACUAUAUUACAUUCAAGACAG